GUGAUGGUCUGGUAGGGGAGAUAUGAUGAUCACUAAGGUGGUUUACCCAUGGCGAGGCUCAUCCAUUGCACUCCACAUAUGGUGGACCUUGUGUUUUCCCCAAAUGUGGAAACUCCACUGCACAAUGUACGGUAGUGGGUUCUUGAUUUCCCCUC
rnacentral:snRNA from 1 species